rnacentral:rRNA from 1 species
AUACGUAGGUGGCGAGCGUUGUCCGGAUUUACUGGGCGUAAAGGAUGCGUAGGCGGAUGUUUAAGUCAGAUGUGAAAAUCCCGAGCUUAACUUGGGAACUGCAUUUGAAACUGGAUAUCUAGAGUGCGGGAGAGGAGAAUGGAAUUCCUAGUGUAGCGGUGAAAUGCGUAGAGAUUAGGAAGAACACCAGUGGCGAAGGCGAUCCUCUGGAUCGUAACUGACGCUGAGGCAUGAAAGCGUGGGUAGC